UAUGUAUGGACACAUAUAUGUUUGUGUGUAUAUGUACAUCUAUGUAUGUGUUCACAUUUACAUUAAACAGGCACAUACAUACACAGUGGCACUGGAACAAUU
rnacentral:miRNA from 1 species